CUGUGCGGACUGUGGUGAGCUCAGCCGACUCGCUGUGCACUGGGAGCGCAGGAGUUGAGUGUCCCCCGUUCCGUCUCUGCAGGCGCGAAAGCACAUGUUCCUGUGUGUCUGGUUGUAGAUUUCCUUGUAGAUUUCUGUACACGCGCAUUUGAUUGGUCUGGAUGAACUGCUCCCCCCCCCCCCAAUAUUUGGACUAUUUCAUAAACAUCCUAGAAAAUUGAAGAAAACAAUUCUCACUAAGCACGUGUGCUUGCCAAAGGAUCUGUCAGAAGCCUGCUUUCUGGUGUGUGUGGUCAUUCGGAUCUCCUUGUGGGGAGGCGGGGCCAUCCUUGCCCCACUCAGAGGCUGCUUUGGGGUCGGGGCCUCCAGGAGGUGUCCCAGCUGUGGGUGGCAGUCCUGUCGGGUCCUCGUAUCACCACACUUGGUGUCCCGCUCUGCCUCACAGAAGCAGGACAGGGGUCGCGGACGUAAGGUGGGAGGCAGGCUCCACAUGGGGGCCCCUCCGAGGGGACAGUAAGCCCUGAGCCUGCCUCUGCUCUCCAAGGUGCCCACAUGAUGCCCUUUCUCCAGAACAGAGGGUGAGGACUCUGGGGGCCGUUAUGCACCUGUUGAUGAAACUUUCUGCCAGGAUGUGCCCUUGUCUGUCCCUCUUGUCUCAGACCCCUGAGGGCCUUUCCUGCCAUGAUGUGCAGGGGUCCCAGCCAAGAGUGAAAGGAGAGCCGGAGUCCCACCUGGGGUCAGCGGACAUGGAGCAUGUCCCAGACCACAGAGAGGUGGGCCGAGAGGCUGGCACUUUGACCUACAAACCAGCAGGUAUUAGCUCAGAUUCAGGUUCUGGAUUCAGACCUGUGGUGAGGGCAUUUCCAGUGUCUGUCAAACCAUGUUCAGUUUCAGUUGGGACACACAAGGGGUUGUUUGGUCUGUUGAAAAUGUUUGUAGUAGUAGGUUUUUUUCUCUGGUUUUUCUCUCAUUCCAUUUCUGCCUUAACUUUAGCUCCUUGAGGGGAGGCAGGCUCAGAUGGAAACUUUGUCAUCACUUUCAUGGCAGGUUGGCCAGGAGUCAUGUCAUGUCGCCAAGGCUCGCCACGUGCCAUGGAGGCAGGCUCAGAUGGAAACUUUGUCAUCACUUUCAUGGCAGGUUGGCCAGGAGUCAUGUCAUGUCGCCAAGGCUCGCCACGUGCCAUGGGGGCGGGCUCAAUGCUUCAGGCUCCAUGCCUCUGAGCCAGGCGCCUUCCUGCCGCUCCCGGCUCCAGCACGGACACCCCCGCCUGCCCACCCUUCCUCUUCUCCCUUCUGGUAGACCAUGAUGCCUACCGUUUAGUUACACCUUCUUGAUCUCCUCUCUCUAUUGUCCAUUUUUCCAAAGAAGAGAGAGUGAAGUACUUGGGAGUCUGUAUUUGAAAACCGUCUGAAGGCAUUUUCUAGUUUGGUUUUGGUUUUCUCCUCACAUCCCCAGCUGAAGCACUGAGAUUCUUCCAUUUAAAAACCCAGAACCUGAAACCCUCACUGGUCAACUCCAGUGUGUGUAGGAGGCCCCAGACCUUCGCGGUGUCUUUGAAGCCCAGCCUCCUGGUUUCCGUUUGGGUUUCCUCCAUAGUUGGGAGUUGAGUUUUAUGUUUCCGUGUUUCACGUGUAUCUUGUUCACUGUCGUCGAGGUCGAGCUUCACUGCGGCAGCAGCAGAGCGGAGUGUACAUUCUGAUUUGCUACGUUUAUAUAUAUCUUGAAGCUAAAUGUAUAUAUGAGUAGUUUGCCAUGAGAUAACACAGUGUAAACAGUAGACACCCAGAAAUUGUGACUUCUGUGUUCUCUCCAUUUGAGUAUUUUGUAAUUUUUUUGAAAUAUUUGUGGACAUAAAUAAAACAAGCUACACUACAGCGGCUCGUGUCCUCCGUGGGCUGUAUCAUUUCUGGGGUGAGCAGGGGUUGGCAGUUGUCC
ensembl:lncRNA